rnacentral:rRNA from 1 species
AUUGAACGCUGGCGGCAGGCCUAACACAUGCAAGUCGAGCGGAUGAGUGGAGCUUGCUCCAUGAUUCAGCGGCGGACGGGUGAGUAAUGCCUAGGAAUCUGCCUGGUAGUGGGGGACAACGUUUCGAACGGAACGCUAAUACCGCAUACGUCCUACGGGAGAAAGCAGGGGAGCUUCGGGCCUUGCGCUAUAAGAUGAGCCUGGGUCGGAUUAGGUGAGUGGUGAGGUAAAGGUUCACCAAGGCGACGAUCCGCAACUGGGCUGAGAGGAUGAUCAGUCACACUUGAACCGAGACACCGUCCAGACUCCUACGGGAGGCAGCAAUUGGGAAUAUUGGGCAAUGGGCGAAAGCCUGAUCCAGCCAUGCCGGGUGUGUGAAGAAGGUCUUCGGAUUGUAAAGCCCUUUAAGUUGGGAGGAAAGGCAGUAAGUUAAUACCUUGCUGUUUUGACGUUACCGACAGAAUAAGCACCGGCUAACUUCGUGCCAGCCGCCGCCGUAAGAC